rnacentral:lncRNA from 1 species
GUGACGGCGCCGUUAAGUACCUGCUGGGGGAGAGCUGUAGCGUCAGCGUCUAGAAAUUACAUAAGAUGACGGAUGGUUCAAUUGCAUGGAGAGGAGCAUGAUAAAGUUGCUUUGCAGUUUAUAAAUUUUGAUACUUUGUCUAUAUUUUGUUGUAUUUUGUUUGGUUUUGGGAUAACUGUAUUUUAGUUAUGAUGUUUGAGUAGAGGUUUAUUUGCCUUCACAGUUCAGUAUGAGUCGUAUUAUGAAUCAUAAUCAGUGAGGCCAUUUAAUUUGUGGCUGAAUAAGAAUUUGAUUUAUAUUUUAUUAUUAUUUGAGGCCUUGAGGGAUUCUUCUUUAUUAAUAAAAAACUUAAAAUUAUAACUA